UUGACCUAUAAAUGAGAAUCGUUAUGAUUAUCACAACUGGUCGCGAGACUGGUUGGAUAACCUGAAAAGUCCUUGGUUCGGACGCUCAGAUUAUCUCCUCAUCAGGCUAAUCACGGUUAUUGACCCGGCACUUUGCCGGGUCUUUUUUGC
rnacentral:sRNA from 1 species